UUGGGAUGGUGGGGAGUGGCCUUGAGAUAAGCCUUGAAGGAUGAAGAGAGUUUCCUGAGAGCCCUGAGGUGCUGAAGAGGCAUUCUAGAUGAGGGGCCUGUGCAAGUAAAGGCACAAUGUGAAGUCAGGGUUAGUUGGGACAGCAGGCAGGCCAGGGAGUAAGGACUAGCAAGGCUGGAAGCCAACUGGAGCCAUCAUGAUGAGAGCCAUUGGAAAUGAUGGGCCUUGGGCCAAGCAGUCCACAUCCUCGUGCCAGUUCUUGGAGGCAGGUUCCCUCACUACUACCCCAUUCUUUCAGAUAAGAAAACAGGGGCUCAGAGAGGUUACAAAGUCACAAAGCUGAUGGAUGGCAGAAAUAGCACUUAACCCAGGUCUGUCUGAUGCCCCACCUUGAUCUCCUUACCCCUGGAAUGCCAGGCAGUGGCAUUACCGAGCCCUUCUCAUCUAAGGUACCAAUGUCCCAGUGCACCUGGCCUGGCAUUUCACCUCAGAUGUGUGGGUACUGAAGGUCGAUCUUUGCCUUAACCAUGGAAGCCAGCUUGAUGUGGCCUCU